rnacentral:rRNA from 1 species
UGGGGAAUAUUGGACAAUGGGCGAAAGCCUGAUCCAGCCAUGCCGCGUGUGUGAAGAAGGUCUUCGGAUUGUAAAGCACUUUAAGUUGGGAGGAAGGGCAGUAAGCGAAUACCUUGCUGUUUUGACGUUACCGACAGAAUAAGCACCGGCUAACUCUGUGCCAGCAGCCGCGGUAAUACAGAGGGUGCAAGCGUUAAUCGGAAUUACUGGGCGUAAAGCGCGCGUAGGUGGUUCGUUAAGUUGAAUGUGAAAGCCCCGGGCUCAACCUGGGAACUGCAUCCAAAACUGGCGAGCUAGAGUAGGGCAGAGGGUGGUGGAAUUUCCUGUGUAGCGGUGAAAUGCGUAGAUAUAGGAAGGAACACCAGUGGCGAAGGCGACCACCUGGGCUCAUACUGACACUGAGGAGCGAAAGCGUGGGGAGCAAACAGG